UUUGAAUGACUCGGGGAAGCACAGCUGGU
rnacentral:piRNA from 1 species